rnacentral:rRNA from 1 species
AUUGAACGCUGGCGGUAGGCCUAACACAUGCAAGUCGAACGGCAGCCCAGUAAGAGCUUGCUCUUACGGGUGGCGAGUGGCGGACGGGUGAGGAAUACAUCGGAAUCUACUUUUUCGUGGGGGAUAACGUAGGGAAACUUACGCUAAUACCGCAUACGACCUACGGGUGAAAGCAGGGGAUCUUCGGACCUUGCGCGAUUGAAUGAGCCGAUGUCGGAUUAGCUAGUUGGCGGGGUAAAGGCCCACCAAGGCGACGAUCCGUAGCUGGUCUGAGAGGAUGAUCAGCCACACUGGAACUGAGACACGGUCCAGACUCCUACGGGAGGCAGCAGUGGGGAAUAUUGGACAAUGGGCGCAAGCCUGAUCCAGCCAGACCGCGUGGGUGAAGAAGGCCUUCGGGUUGUAAAGCCCUUUUGUUGGGAAAGAAAAGCAGCAGGUUAAUACCCCGCUGUUCUGACGGUACCCAAAGAAUAAGCACCGGCUAACUUCGUG